rnacentral:rRNA from 1 species
GUCUAGGGCCACGCCACCCUGAACAAGCCCGAAAUCUGACCUCAGAAGCUAAGCAGGGUCGGGCCUGGUUAGUACUUGGAUGGGAGACCACCUAGGAAGACCAGGUGCUGUAGGUG